rnacentral:rRNA from 1 species
UACGAAGGGUGCAAGCGUUAUUCGGAAUGAUUGGGCGUAAAGGGUGCGUAGACGGUAUGUUAAGUCAACUGUUAAAUUUCCCAGCCUAACUGGGAGCAAGCAGUAGAAACUGGUGUACUAGAGGGUGGAAGAGAGAAGUGGAAUUCUCGGAGUAGCGGUAAAAUGCGUAGAUCUCGAGAGGAACACCAAUGGCGAAGGCAGCUUCUUGGUCCAUUUCUGAACGUUCAUGCACGAA